CUGUCCGGACUUCCGGUGGAAAGCUCCUACAACUUUCUGCAAGGGACCUUACAUGAGAGCUCGCUGACAUGACAAGGCUUCAGUCGUGAUGCAUUGACAUGGAUUGAUGCUUUGGUGGUCCCAAUUCUAGUACUAUAGGAUGUCCUGGAGAGGUAUAGCUGAUCGAUAUGACCCACUCAAGGCUGGGAGUAUCGAUGGCACUGACACAGAGCCACAUGACAAUGGUAUUGUCAGGGCUAUGAAUGCUAAGUACAAACCCAACAAGUCAGUUGAUGGGGACCCACACAGGACAAUAUUCGUGUCUGGUCUGGACAGACAGACUGAGGAAGAUACAUUAUGGACUGCAUUUCGAGAUUUUGGAAAAAUAAAAAAAUGUAGAUUAGUACGAGAUAUUGUAACGGGGUAUUCCAAAGGGUAUGGCUUCGUAGAGUUUGAAAAUGAAAAGGAUGCCCGUGCAGCAUGUAACCAUGGAAACAAGAUGACCGUAGAUAAUAGAGAGGUGUUUGUGGAUUUUGAAUGUGAACGGAACAUGACCGGAUGGGUUCCACGUAGACUUGGAGGUGGAAUUGGGGGAAAUAGAAAAUCCGGACAGCUGAGGUUUGGUGGUAAGGAUAGACCAUUCAUCCAGCCUAUCAUUCCUGUUGUUUAUAAAGGUGUACAGAGAUCAGAAGAUAUGGAAGGCUCAUGGAAGGAGCAGAAAUUGGAGAGAGAUCAUUAUAGGGGAAAUAGAGAUAGAUUUGAUAAAAAUUGUGAUUGGAGUAGGGAAGUAGAUAGGGAUAGACUGAACUGUGAUGAGAGGAGGUAUAGAGAUGACAAAGGCAGGGACUACAGGGCCAGGGAUGGGGACUACCGUCGAGAGAGGAGGAGGCCGAGAGAGAGAAGUCGAAGCAGAGACCGAGAGAGACCAGGAAGAUCAAGUCCAGGCCAGGGAGGCGAGGAACAGAGAGGUGCACGUACAGACAGGGUUGUUGUAAAGAUUGAACAAGACACAUGACAGAUACAUGUCACAUUGGGAAGCACAUGCCAUUAACAUAUGGCGUACCUGUGCACAUGUUUGUGCUUUCCAUAACCCGUAUUUCCAUUCACUGUUUGAUUUAUUAGGACUUUUGUGCAAGAAGACAAGGAACUUAUAUGUGAAGGUGGAUCCCAGCAGUUGCAAGGUAUCCUUGGACUCGAAGCUCCUUUCCUGGGCCCCUUCCACAAAGCAAUCUUAGCCCUAAGACUGCCGUAAGUCUAUGCUAAAGUAUGGGAGUUACGAUUGUCUUAGCGCUACGAUUGCUUUGUGGAACAGGACCCAGGCUGCGGAGAUAGGACCCUUAACGUGGUUAAACAUGGCCACAAGUUACUUCAAUGCCCAUGGAGAUUCUGGGUAAGAAUAUAGGUCCCCAGCAACUUGUGCUUGUCGUAAGAGGUGACUUAAUGGAUCAGGGGUUCAUGUUAGGUUACUUGGUUUAUUGCAUAUCAUUGUAUCCUAUAUUGUAUGGAUCAAUGCUUGUGAUGUCAAUUACUGGGUUGUCUUUUCAGAGUCAGUAAUUUUCAGACCCCAGUCAUAUUGCUGGGACAUUGCUGACUGCAGAGUUAAACAACAACAAAAAAACGCUAACAAAAAGCAAUAAUUAGUCCGAGACUUAGUGGAAAUCUAGAAGUACUGGAUGUAUUUUCCCAACAUCUUGUUUCUUCCAUUGACCAUGAGUCCGAAGUGUGCUGUUGACUGGCUAGUUAUGACCAAAGGUGUCACUUCUGAAGAAGACUUGUUUUAUCAACAUGUGGAUAUAUUAUGAAUUGUGCAAAUACAAUAUUCAAUAUGUGAUUCAAAUCAUGUCUCUGUGAGAAAGGAUGGUUUAACAAGUGGUUUAUUAAAAUGUAACCACUUUUGUUCAUUCUUCUUGUUCCAAUGAAUUUUUUAAAGAGUUAAACAGUCAGCAGUCUAGUAUACGAGACAAGUGAAAUGUUGCAAUUACUAGUUUCUCCCAAAAAGCGUUACAACUAUUCUGUAUUGGAAUGUUGCAAUUACUAGUUUCUCUCAAAUAGCGUUACAACUAUUCUGUAUUGGAAUGUUGCAAUUACUAGUUUCUCCCAAAUAGUGUUACAACUAUUCUGUAUUGAAAUGUUGCAAUUACUAGUUUCUCCCAAAUAGUGUUACAACUAUUCUGUAUUGGAAUGUUGCAAUUACUAGUUUCUCCCAAAUAGCGUUACAACUAUUCUGUAUUGGAAUGUUGCAAUUACUAGUUUCUCCCAAAUAGUGUUAAACUAUUCUGUAUUGGAAUGUUGCAAUUACUAGUUUCUCCCAAAUAGUGUUACAACUAUUCUGUAUUGAAAUGUUGCAACUACGAGUUUCUCCCAAAUAGCGUUACAACUAUUCUGUAUUGAAAUGUUGCAAUUACUAGUUUCUCCCAAAUAGUGUUACAACUAUUCUGUAUUGGAAUGUUGCAAUUACUAGUUUCUCCCAAAUAGCGUUACAACUAUUCUGCAUUGAAAUGUUGCAGUACAAGCUUCUCCCAAAUAGUGUUACAACUAUUCUGCAUUGAAAUGUUGCAGUACAAGCUUCUCCCAAAUAGCGUUACAACUAAAGUGAAAUGUUGCAAGUCCUUGUUUCCAUCAAAUAGUGUUACAAAUAUUCUAGUUUCUCCUAAAUAGUGGGAAUCAGACUCUUCGGACAACUAUUCUGUAUUGAAAUGUGGACCAGCCACAUUUAACUUGGAAGAUGGAAGUGGCUGUAUCUGUUUGGCAAUAUUCCAGUUAUAUGACGGCAGUCUGUAAAUAAUCAAGUCUGGACCAGACAAUCCAG
rnacentral:misc_RNA from 1 species